GCUUAAUCUGCUCCAUCAUUCCAACCUUCAGUAUCUUCUCUUUGUCAAUUAUCUUGAUGGCUACACUAUUUCCAGUUCGAAGAUUCCUUGCAUGGUGCACAUGGUGCACUCUGGCAAAGGUUCCCUGGCCUAGCAAUCUGCCUAUCUCAUACUUCUGCAUCAACACAUGCCCUUUGUUUUCCAUUUCGAGCUACAAUAUUUGAACAAUAUAAAGCUACUAUACUUGCUAAGGCAAUAUGACUGAUAUAGUUAUUUAUGGAAUUGCUCUCAAUAGCCUAAAAGCUCAACCAUCUUCACAAACAUCAUACUUUGACAAGAUAUGAGCUCCUGUGUCUCUUGUCACACCAAGCAUUUGAGCACAAUGAAACGGGCAGUGAGUUAAAUGUUCAGCCUCAUAAAGGAUAUACAAAGGUAGCCCACCACAUGGAGCUAUGAUCUUGUCAACUUCAGAGGAAGAAAUUCCGCAUUUUAACAUCUUUCAGCAUUCCCUAUUUUUUGUGAUUGACUAGAUAAUUCUGAUGAAGAUGGAAAAGAAUGAAUUGCGAACCUUUAGGCAGAUAGCUAAUGAAACA
rnacentral:misc_RNA from 1 species